rnacentral:lncRNA from 10 species
CUGGGAUAACAGAAGGGAAAGCUCUUGGGAAGGACAGUGAGCUCUGCACAUGUAAGAUAUGUUUCAUAUCUGCUUCCAGUGGGGACUUUUGCUAGCCCAGUGACUUUGCAGGAGAGGUGAGCUAGUGGGAGGUGCCCAGAUUGACAGUGACACUCUUUGAACCUUUUUUUUUAAGAGACAGGGUCUACAUAAUCCCUGUUUGACUAGUGCAGAAACUGAGGCACAGAGAGGCUACGUAACUUGCCCAAAGCCACACAGCUAGGACGUGGCAGAUGCAGCCCCACCGCCUUUACCACCAAGACGUACUACCUCUUCCCAUGUGAGAAGACCUCUGUGUCUGUGGCCUCUGAUUUAGGGGUUCCAGAUGGAGCUUUGGGUCUGAGGUUUUGCUUUGACCCCUGAGCCGAGUGCUGAACAUUUCCUUCUUCGGUUACACUCUGAGAAGGCAUGCACCUCCAAGAUGGCCAUGAAGCUUGGAAGUCAGGUGACUUUCCCAGAUGGUGGAGAAGAAAUGCAAACCAGGUGGAUCUCAGCCCUGCUGGGGAGCUCCAAGAGGUGGCGUUGAACAUGCCUUACAGUUGCUCCCCCUGGAGAAGAGGCAGCUGGGUUAUGGAUACACAUGCUCCCUUCAGUCCCUGGUUGAGGCUGCUCCUGGAGGUGGACGGGCAUCAAUUCCCCAGGCUUUCUAGCCCACCCUGGGCCAGAGCUCUGGUGAAAGCCUCAUGCAAAAUGUCACAGGUGCUGGAAGCUGGACGUCAGACUGAGGAGGUGGCUGUGACUUCACCUGGGCCUGGACAAUAACUGAGAAGCUCCAAAGUGGAUACUGUGUCUGCGAGAAGAGAGUGGGGGCUGUGUCUACACCAUUUGUUCCCUGUUGAGAGACUGAGCUAGUGAGACAAGGCUGUGGGUAGGACCUGAGGACCAGGGAGGGCUGCGUCUAUGCGGUGCUGGCCUCACAGAGGCAGCCAGUGGGAACCCUCCUUUUGGCUGGAGUGGAGGGGUGGAAAAACAUAGGUGUGCCCUAAAGAGCCUGAUGCUGCCACACAAUUCGUGCAGCAUUUUAGGUGUCUUUUGGGUGACAUUCCUCAAUUCCUACAUGAAUUCCUCUUUUACCUGGUGAGGUUUCCUGCCUGGGAGGUAGAAAGACUCUAGGAAUAUGGUCAAAAAAUACUCUGGAGCAGACAUCUUCGUGUGACUUAUUUUGUGAUGCCAUCCGCCACCCACCUUGUGAGCAAGGUCUUUCCGAAUUACUGAGCUAACAGCCCCCUUGUGCAGGCUGUCAUGGAGUCAGGGGCUCAGGGUCAGAGAGUCACAACUCCAGGGGUGUCAACCUUGUUUUGGUUGAUGUAACAUAAUUGACCCCAUUUUGAUGCCCUAAAGUAAAAAUUAAUCAACAAAAGAUGUCCCACAGGGGAAAACCAAGUGCUUCUUGUCGUGGUCUUCUAUUUAAAUUAAUUUUUGGAAAUAAUAUAGGUAUCCUUUUGCAUACCACAAUCUUUCUUCUUUUUCUCUGCCUCUUGUUAACUCUACAAGGACAUUUGUUCCUUCAGGCGAUAGGGUCACAUGUACUAGAUCAGAAGUCAGAAGAUUCAAGGUUUUAAUCUCUGUUUGGCACUAACAUGCCUCCCUGGCUACACCUCUCAG